rnacentral:snoRNA from 1 species
CCAAUAAGACCUUUUGCCCUUUGGAGGAGCACAGGGCUCGGCGCCCCGUGAUGUACAGUCCUUUUCCACAACGUCGGAGAUGAAGCCGGGCCUGGAGCCUGCGCCUGCAUAUUCCUACAGCUUCUCAGAGUCCCGUGGACAAUGACUGAGGAGACAAACCAUGCAGGACACAGCC